UAGGGAAUCUUCCACAAUGGACGCAAGUCUGAUGGAGCAACGCCGCGUGAGUGAAGAAGGUUUUCGGAUCGUAAAGCUCUGUUGUUGGUGAAGAAGGAUAGAGGCAGUAACUGGUCUUUAUUUGACGGUAAUCAACCAGAAAGUCACGGCUAACUCCGUGCCAGCAGCCGCGGUAAUACGUAGGUGGCAAGCGUUGUCCGGAUUUAUUGGGCGUAAAGCGCGCGCAGGCGGAAUGAUAAGUCUGAUGUGAAAGCCCACGGCUCAACCGUGGAACUGCAUCGGAAACUGUCAUUCUUGAGUGCAGAAGAGGAGAGUGGAAUUCCAUGUGUAGCGGUGGAAUGCGUAGAUAUAUGGAAGAACACCAGUGGCGAAGGCGGCUCUCUAGUCUGCAACUAACGCUGAGGCUCGAAAGCAAGGGUAGCGAACAGG
rnacentral:rRNA from 1 species